AGGGUUAAUGCAGAAGAGCUAAGAAAACAAGAAACAGUGGCUUCAUUACCACUUGAUAGAGUGCAUACCACAACAUCCCAGAUUAUCACACAGUUUCAUAAAUGUCUGCAGUGCUGUAGCAACACAUGCAAAAACUCUGUUCUUUACCACAAUGAUGUGCUGAGCUGUUGUACUCGGGGCGGUCCCACACAGUCCUGGCCUGGCAGACUCCCACUGCAGCCUUCAGGAGACCCCCUCUGUAUGGCUGGGCAUGCUCAUUCAAGUCUGAGAGACAAACAUAUUCAUGUGCUGUAUAUGAGAUCUGGCAGCCAAGAGAAAAGUGUUGAUCAUCUGUUUUCACACAUUUAAACAAACAGAUUGUCACGCCUGUGGCUCGGCAUCCUGGGAGCUGUGGGAGGCUGCGGUGGCCACACCCUCGGGCUGGGCCGCCUCCAAACCACCUGCGUCUCAUCUAAGGCAAUCACCGGAGGACUACUUCAGCCAGCUCGGGCGGCUUCUCCUCGCCAGUCCGUAAGUCUCCUUCCAGUGUGACCAGCAUUCAGCGUGGAAGCCGGUGGCCUGCCUGUCCUCCUGCCUGACUGCCUGCCUCCCUAAGGAUUCUCUCCCGGGCAUCACUCCCCUCCUCGCUCCACAGUCCUGCUCUACCUUUUCCCCACGGUCCCGAUUACGGCGCUCCUGGGCUCCACGCUCCUCGUUUCCCCCCGUGGCAUGAGCCUUAGUUUUUCAUUUCCAAGCUUUGUUAAAAGAUUCCUCAGUUAAAUAAACACUUGUACAUAGUUCUGAGCUGCGGUGUGCUGAGUCUGCUUUGGGGUCCUGCUACCUGAACACUCCGUGUUUUGUGACGCAGAUGUUGAGAAACUCAGAUGAGCGACUGGUUGUCAUAGCGAUGGUUGAGAACCUCUGACCCCUCCUGAGUUCAUGCUGUGACUGUUACACUCUGGUUUCCUUUCUUGCAUUCAUGCAGGCUGCAGGAUACAGACGGAGUCAUUUGUCAACAUUUCAAAUGUGUCACGAUUUGAAGUGAUGAAAAUGUAGAAACUGCAAAGCUGAACGCUCUCACUCUGUGAGAGGAUCCAACGUAGAGGUGGAAAACCAGAGGAUGAUAAACAAACAAUAAACAAAUGAGAGAACACAUUUCCUAAGAAAAUGCAGAGUAAAUGCUGAAAGCUGAAUAUCUGAGUUGGAUUAUUUGAAGUGUUAAAAUAUUUGGGGAAACUGCUGAAAUAGUCUGAACCAUUCACCUGCCAAGAGCUGAACUGCUGAAAGCUGAAGUUCACACAGUGUAAAAAAAAUGUCUCAUUGCAAAACUUUUAGUUGUAAUUUUCUUUUUUAGUUUAAUCAACAAUGUUAAAAAAUUGAAAAAAGUUAGCUCAGUUGUUUUAGUAUUCCAAAAAGAAUAGAAUAGCUCUUUAUUGUCGUUGUACAUGUACAACACAAUUAUGGGUGCUCCACACAAACUGUGCAGGAAUCAAAUAUUAACAGUAACACAAGAGGAAUAAAUAACAAACAGGAGAAAUAUAUAAAGACACAGACUGGAGAACAAAGUGCUUGGAAGUAAUGCAAAGGACUUUGAGUAUAGAGUGGUUGUUUUGUGGCCUGACUGAAGCUGGUUACUCACACCAUGACUCAGACUGGUGAUGUGGGUGGGGAGGGGUUGUUAACAAGUCCCAUAAUAUUACAGUGGCGGCACCACAAAAUUUAAAUACACAAGCAUUUGAUUUCCAGCAGGUAACCAGAGAACAGCUGAUCUUUGUGUCCUUCACACUUCAGACUUAAAGUUCAGAAAAAGUGAAAGCAAAGUGUGUGUGUGUGUGUGUGUGUGUGUGUGUGUGUGUGUGUGUGUGUGAGAAUGUAGUAUUGUUCUAUUUGCUGUGUGUUAUUUUUCAGGUGAAAGCUAAUUUUAACUUCAUAAAAAAGAAGAAAAAACCUUAAAACCUGAGUUUGUGUCCAAAUUGGGGUCAGCCUUCAUCUGACUUUUAUCAGAAAGCACUUGCUUCCAUGUUGCCUCAGUCUGCACGUCCUCCUUCACCACAGUCAUGCACUUUGUCUUUGGUCUCCUCUGUGUUCAGCAUCAUUUGUCUGACAUCUCUCUGUGUGUCCAAACCAUCUCUAGAGAGGAUGAUCAUUUCUGACCCCGUCAAAAAUCCCAGUAUAAAUUGUAGCAUUAAGCACCACAGUAAGAGCAAUUUGAGGAUUUUUUUUCUGCAUUUGGAGCCUAUUUAUUUACAGAGAUAAUGAGCUGAAGAGAAACUUUACAUUCUUCAUGAGACACUAAAACUUCUGAAGCCUUUUCAGGCAAAGCAUGAAUAAAAAAGCAUUUGUCCUCCACUUCUACCCAAACAAUCUCCUCUGCUCUGCUUCUGUUUGUCCAUCUGUGCAACCGAUGUUUAAAAAAACAUGUUGGACAGACUGGAUAAGGCACAUAUAGAGAACACAUUUAAAACAAGACAACAAAAUAGUUUUUCAUGUUACUAAGAUUAAGAACUGUAUUUUAUGUAUGAGAGAAGAAGAAAACGUGUAAACAUGAAAAAACAAACAAACAACAAAACAGUUUUCCUCUUUGCAGCCAAGUUUCUAAAGAAGCUUUGGAGGAACCAUUUGAAGCAGUUUGGUCCAUUAUUAAAACGGACGUUUAUUUGCCAGUCAUUCAACAUCACCACUUGUGUAUAACUCUGCUGAUUUUCUUCCCUUUGUGUCCAGGCUGAGAUUCCAGGUGUCUCCCUCAGCUCAUUUACUCCAAAUCAGAAGCAUCAGAUUUGUGGAGCGUGGAGACGCUCUGCCUGCCAGACACAGCUCAGGGCAAAGAAACAUGUCUCUCCUCCACAAUAUACAGGCCUGUAUCAUUUACUGUCUGUAUUUUAAUGUAGAAAUGAUCAAGUAUGAUCAAACUUUUCAAAUGAAAAAUAAUAUUAAAUGUCAAACAUUAACUAUUUAUUUGUUACAUUUUAAAAGUUCAAACCUCAAAGACAUUAAGUUUAAGGUCAUAUAUGAUCAAGAAAAUCAACAAUCUUCACGUUUCAGAAACUGGAACCAGCUUUAAAUGUGACUAAAAUAAUGACAAAACAAUCAAUUCUCUGAUCAUUGACUAACUGAUGAAUCACUGCAUUUGACAACCCGCUACAGCAACUCCAGAAUAAAAGCACUAACCAGACUGAUGAAAGGUUUCACACAUGCUGAAUAUGAAGAGUAGUAGAAUUUAAACUCACAUGAUUAUCAGCCAUAAGAACAAAUGCAGAUUUAUGUUGAUGUAAGGUUUAUAAAUGUAAGUACAGUUUGAAUCAGUGCAAUAUUAUUUCCACACAUCAAUGGACCUCUGAGCUUCUCAGCUUCUAAAAUGUAAAGGCUCAUUUAGACACUACACAAGUACAUAUAAUGAUCAGGGAUCAACAUGAACCUGUCUUCUCUAUUUGACUUUAAUCAACUCUGCAGUGGCUCCAUUUUUGCAAAGACAAAGUCCAGCAUAGAGCGGCUGAGUGAAGGUGGUCUGGACUCUGUGGAGGAGAGUCGUGGUUUCAGAGACGCUGUAGAAAGACAGAAUACCUGCUCUGUGAUCCAGGUACACUCCUACUCUGGAGGACCGAGGACCUGAGAGGACAGUUUGGACUUUGUUGUGAAAGAAUUUGUAACUGUUUGUGUCACAGCGUAAUCCCCAAGAUUUGUCAUUGCUUCCAAAAACAGAGUCCGACCAUGCUCUGUUGAUAUUCUUGUAUGCGACUGCUACACGAACUCCUCCACCUCUCCACUCCACCUCCCAGUAACAACGUCCAGUCAGACUCUCUCUACUCAGGACCUGAGAACAGUCAGUGAAUCUGUCUGGAUGAUCAGAAUAAGACUGUAGUUGUUCCAUUCUUGUUACUUUUCUGUUCCCCUCUGAUAAUAACAAACGUCUGUGUGCUGUGUUUGGAUCCAGUGUGAUGUCACAUGAACAUUUUAAGAAUCCAGCUCUGGUCUUUGGCUCUGCUGGUGACAGUAAAACGUCCUCUUCAGUGACUGUCAGUGAGAUGUUUGUCCGUUCCUCUCUCAGAAUGUCCUGUAGUUUAUCUCUGGUCUCUGACACAGCUGCUGUCACAUCCUCAAAGUAGCUCAGAGGACGGAUAUUGAUGCCGGAUGAGUGUGUCGACUCACCGAGUGCUGACAGUGAGGGGUAGUUGUGUAGAAA